UGCAAGUCGAGCGAACCUUUGGGAGCUUGCUCCUAAAGGUUAGCGGCGGACGGGUGAGUAACACGUGGGCAACCUACCUAUAAGACUGGGAUAACUUCGGGAAACCGGAGCUAAUACCGGAUAAUUCUUUUCUACACAUGUAGAAAAGCUAAAAGACGGUUUACGCUGUCACUUAUAGAUGGGCCCGCGGCGCAUUAGCUAGUUGGUGAGGUAACGGCUCACCAAGGCCACGAUGCGUAGCCGACCUGAGAGGGUGAUCGGCCACACUGGGACUGAGACACGGCCCAGACUCCUACGGGAGGCAGCAGUAGGGAAUCUUCCGCAAUGGACGAAAGUCUGACGGAGCAACGCCGCGUGAGUGAUGAAGGUUUUUGGAUCGUAAAACUCUGUUGUUAGGGAAGAACAAGUACGAGAGUAACUGCUCGUACCUUGACGGUACCUAACCAGAAAGCCACGGCUAACUACGUGCCAGCAGCCGCGGUAAUACGUAGGUGGCAAGCGUUGUCCGGAAUUAUUGGGCGUAAAGCGCGCGCAGGCGGUCCUUUAAGUCUGAUGUGAAAGCCCACGGCUCAACCGUGGAGGGUCAUUGGAAACUGGGGGACUUGAGUGCAGGAGAGAAGAGUGGAAUUCCACGUGUAGCGGUGAAAUGCGUAGAGAUGUGGAGGAACACCAGUGGCGAA
rnacentral:rRNA from 1 species